rnacentral:rRNA from 1 species
CAGCAAUGCCUAGCGGCGAACGGUCGCGUAACACGUAAGCAACCUGCCCCCAAGACCGGGACAACGUUCCGAAAGGAGCGCUAAUACCGGAUGUGCCCAUCGGGUGACAUCGCCUGGUGAGUAAAUCAAGCAAUUGGCUUAGGGAGGGGCUUGCGGCCUAUCAGCUAGAUGGUGGGGUAACGGCCUACCAUGGCGACGACGGGUAGCUGGUCUGAGAGGAUGGUCAGCCGGAUUGGGACUGAGAUACGGCCCAGACUCCUACGGGGGGCAGCAAUUAGGAAUCUUGCACAAUGGGCGAAAGCCUGAUGCAGCGACGUCGCGUGGGGGAGGAAGGCUUUCGGGUUGUAAACCCCUUUUACCCAGGAAGAAACAAAUGACGGUACUGGGUGAAUAAGCCCCGGCUAACUACGUGCCAGCACC